rnacentral:ncRNA from 1 species
AGGUAUCUGUUGAUUCAGAUUUAAAAGGGAACACGGGUGAGAAUCCCGGACAGUCCCGCUGCUGUAUUUCUCAGAUAUAUGGAUUCGGAUGAGCGCCUCUUAAGUGCAGGCUGCGAUACACGCCACUGGCCGUGACGGCCGGGAAGGUUCCGAACCCAUGAGAUAAGCCAGAAGACCUGCCCCGGUUC